ACAUGCCUACAACAUAGCGUUAAUGCACUGGAUCCCAUUAGAACUCUGCAAUUAAGCGCACUCGUACUAGAGUAGUACUGGGAUGGGUGACCACUUGGGAAGUCCUAGUAUUUUACAUGUC
rnacentral:rRNA from 1 species